rnacentral:rRNA from 1 species
AUUGAACGCUGGCGGCAGGCCUAACACAUGCAAGUCGAACGAGUGGCGCACGGGUGUGUCACGUCUGGGAAACUGCUUUAUGGAGGGGGAUAACUACUGGAAACGGUAGCUAAUACCGCAAACCUUCCGAUUUGCCCAGGUGGGAUGAGCUAGUUGGUGGGGUAACGGCUCACCAAGGCCACGGUCCAUAGCUGGUCUGAGAGGAUGACCGGCCACACUGGAACUGAGACACGGUCCAGACUCCUACGGGAGGCAGCAGUGGGGAAUAUUGCACAAUGGGCGCAAGCCUGAUGCAGCCAUGCCGCGUGUAUGAAGAAGGCCUUCGGAUUGUAAAGUACUUUCAGCGGGGAGGCGUUACCCGCAGAAGAAGCACCGGCUAACUCCGUGCCAGCAGCCGCGGUAAUUC